GACGAACCGUGCGAACGUUGUUCGGAAUCACUGGGCUUAAAGGGCGCGUAGGCGGUCCACCCAGUCGGGGGUGAAAUCUUUCGGCUUAACCGGAAAAGUGCCUUCGAUACUGGUGGACUAGAGGUGGGUAGGGGCAGAUGGAACUUCCGGUGGAGCGGUGAAAUGUGUUGAUAUCGGAAGGAACGCCGGUGGCGAAAGCGAUCUGCUGGACCCUUUCUGACGCUGAGGCGCGAAAGCCAGGGGAGCAAACGGG
rnacentral:rRNA from 1 species